rnacentral:rRNA from 1 species
ACACGGGGGGAGCAAGCGUUGUUCGGAAUCACUGGGCGUAAAGGGCGUGUAGGCGGUCAGGUAAGUGGAAUGUGAAAUGCCCCGGCUCACCCGGGGACCUGCAUCCCAACUGCCUGGCUUGAGUAUGGGAGAGGAUGAGGGAAUUCCUGGUGUAGCGGUGAAAUGCGUAGAUAUCAGGAGGAACACCGGUGGCGAAAGCGCUCAUCUGGCCCAAUACUGACGCUGAGGCGCGAAAGCUAGGGGAGC